CUCUGAGAAAUCGUCGGCACAAAAUUUGUGCAGAAAAAAAGAAUAAUAAUAAUAAGAAGAAGAAAAUUGAAAAAGAAACAUAAGAAUAAUAGAAGGGUCUUCCGCUGAAGACGGAAGACCCUAAUAAUUGUAUUUAUGUAUUUAAUGCGAUAAUUUGUUUGGAGGUUUUCGGAAACAUUUACGUUGGUAAAUUGUGAAAAUUCUCAGAUCCACGCCUUGCCUAAUUGUAAUGGAAUGUGUAAGGUCACGUGGUCAGCUCAGCGAGUCAUUCACACUCGCGCGCUCACCACCGCUAACAUGAAGCACGUCUAUUUUGAAGACCCACCUCCACCCCAACAUUCCUAUCCCUUAAUAUGAUCAUUAAUGUGUCAUGUAAAAUUUAUAUUAUAUUAUAGUUUUUACUCGAUUGUUUUACGCUUUCAUGUAUUUGGUUUUGAUUAUGAUCUUUUUGCAAACUUUUUCUUCUGAGGUUUUGAUUGUGUCUUUGAUGUACCAUCUUUUUGCCAACUUUUUCUUGUGAUGUUUGCCUAUUUUAUUUUGAUGUGCCAUCUAUUUGCUAACUUUUUAAUAUGAUGUUUUGAUUGUCUUGUCUUACAGAUACUUUUUUCUAGUCAGUUUUGGGGGAUCAGACAUUAUCAUAUUUUACGUAACUGAUAAGCAAAGCUUGUGAAUCUGAUCCCCCUUCUUGUUUGUUAAAUUGUUCACAUUUAUACCGUCAUUUUAAUAAAUGACAUUUUUCAUCAACAUCAAA